GUGCCAGCCGCCGCGGUAACACGUAGGGGGCAAGCGUUGUCCGGAUUUAUUGGGCGUAAAGAGCUCGUAGGCGGCUCAGUAAGUCAGGUGUGAAACCUCCAGGCUCAACCUGGAGACGCCACCUGAUACUGCUGUGGCUAGAGUCCGGUAGGGGAGCGUGGAAUUCCUGGUGUAGCGGUGAAAUGCGCAGAUAUCAGGAGGAACACCAGCGGCGAAGGCGGCGCUCUGGGCCGGAACUGACGCUGAGGAGCGAAAGCGUGGGUAGCAAACAGGAUUAGAUACCCGCGUAGUCC
rnacentral:rRNA from 1 species